GGCCAAACACAUGUGGCAGAGCUCCCAGUCAGGAGACCAUGGUGAUCGGUGGCUGACCCGAGGACUGGCCAGACCAGCCAAUGCCUGAUGCUAGCCUGAGUCCAGAGACGCUGCCAAGCUUGCCGUUCGCCAGUUACCCCGAGGAGCCGCCAAGCCAACCGAGUGCCAGUUACCCCGAGGAGCCCAUGGUGUGUGACCUCUUCGAGGACGCUGGCCAGACCCAGGCAGGCUAAUUCCCCAACACACCUGACAGAAGUAGCGAGGCGGUCUGGUUCCCUGCCGCCCCGGAGAGUGAUGACCACUGGCUGGACGCGCCUACACGCCUCAGUCUGGAUUUUUUUGGAAUCAUUCAGCUAAAACAGUUCAGCCUUUUCACUGAAAGCAAUGAAGCUGCUCACAGUGAGUCUGUGAAUCAAGAAUGUACAAGACUCCUCUGAAUGCUUCCAUGUCUUUAAUCAUGUCUGAUGCUACCUCCAAGAGAUUCUUCUGAUUCUUUUUAAUACAACCACAAGAUCUCACCAUAGCCAACAAAUCAGCUCUCAUUUUUUCAGUAGCUUUAUAUUAAAUACGUUUUAGAUAAAGAUUAAUUUUCAAUGUUCCUUGCUCAAUAUUUAUGGUUUAUCACCUAGCUUGAGAU